rnacentral:rRNA from 1 species
CAAGUCGAGCGGUAACAUUUCAAAAGCUUGCUUUUGAAGAUGACGAGCGGCGGACGGGUGAGUAAUGCCUGGGAAUUUGCCCAUUUGUGGGGGAUAACAGUUGGAAACGACUGCUAAUACCGCAUACGCCCUACGGGGGAAAGCAGGGGACCUUCGGGCCUUGCGCUGAUGGAUAAGCCCAGGUGGGAUUAGCUAGUAGGUGAGGUAAAGGCUCACCUAGGCGACGAUCCCUAGCUGGUCUGAGAGGAUGAUCAGCCACACUGGGACUGAGACACGGCCCAGACUCCUACGGGAGGCAGCAGUGGGGAAUAUUGCACAAUGGGGGAAACCCUGAUGCAGCCAUGCCGCGUGUGUGAAGAAGGCCUUCGGGUUGUAAAGCACUUUCAGCGAGGAGGAAAGGGUGUAAGUUAAUACCUUACAUCUGUGACGUUACUCGCAGAAGAAGCACCGGCUAACUCCGUGC